ensembl:lncRNA
UGUUCAAGCUGAAGAGUUUCCCAGAAGAAGGGCUGCCAGCAACAGCAGGGCAACAUGCUUCCUUGUUCCCAUCUGUGGAGCUAGAAAAAAAGCAUCUCCUCUCCAGCCCUGGCCUAUGCUGCUCUCGCCAACACUUCUCACCGCUGGCUCAUCAUUUUGGCAAGUUGGCAUCUCACUCUGCUCCAAGCCCCGCUGAUGGAGCUGAAGAUCCCUUUAGCAGAAUUGAUUCUGGCGUGUUCUAAUUUAAAAAGCCUUGCACUUCUCUGCAUGGAGGCUGCUGAAAUCUGUGCCCAUAAAGGCAGAGAGAGUAAAUUCUUCUGAGGAAAGCCUAUUUUUAACAAGUCCUGAACCUAAUUGAACUUAAUCAUUUUUCAGUCGUUGACACUUGAAAUUAUGAGUCAUUGGGCUAUAU